rnacentral:rRNA from 1 species
GCCAGAGGGUGCAACCGUUGUUCGGAUUUACUGGGCGUAAAGCGCGUGUAGGCGGCUUUGCAAGUCGGAUGUGAAAGCCCACGGCUCAACCGUGGAAGUGCAUCCGAAACUGCAUGGCUCGAGUCUCGGAGAGGAAGGUGGAAUGCUUGGUGUAGAGGUGAAAUUCGUAGAUAUCAAGCAGAACACCUGCGGCGAAGGCGGCCUUCUGGACGAUGACUGACGCUGAGACGCGAAAGCGUGGGGAGCAAACAGG